GGUUGUAUAGUAUAGUGGUUAGUACGGCUCGUUGUGGUCAACGAGGAAUACCGAGCAGACUCAGGUUCGAUUCCUGAUACAGCCA